GAUGAACGCUGGCGGCGUGCCUAAUACAUGCAAGUCGAGCGAACAGAUGAGGAGCUUGCUCCUCUGACGUUAGCGGCGGACGGGUGAGUAACACGUGGAUAACCUACCUAUAAGACUGGGAUAACUUCGGGAAACCGGAGCUAAUACCGGAUAAUAUAUUGAACCGCAUGGUUCAAUAGUGAAAGACGGUUUUGCUGUCACUUAUAGAUGGAUCCGCGCCGCAUUAGCUAGUUGGUAAGGUAACGGCUUACCAAGGCAACGAUGCGCAGCCGACCUGAGAGGGUGAUCGGCCACACUGGAACUGAGACACGGUCCAGACUCCUACGGGAGGCAGCAGUAGGGAAUCUUCCGCAAUGGGCGAAAGCCUGACGGAGCAACGCCGCGUGAGUGAUGAAGGUCUUCGGACCGUAAAACUCUGUUAUUAGGGAAGAACAAAUGUGUAAGUAACUAUGCACGUCUUGACGGUACCUAAUCAGAAAGCCACGGCUAACUACGUG
rnacentral:rRNA from 1 species